CCAAGUAAAUUAAUUGUGACAUGAAAACAUACACUAAGUUCCAAGGUAAGGAAGAUAGAAAGAAGCUUCGUCAUAAUAGAACUGUAGAAGUAGAUCAUACAGCAUUGGGUGUCUAUAAAUAUAAUUGCCACUCCAAAUUUCGUUAUGGAUGUGAAUUUGGCAAACAGAAGUCUUUUGAGCUUUCCACGCUCAUGAAAGGUUGGUGCUUAUAUACGGGUAUAUGCUUGUCACCAUGCAUUGCAUCAAUCAUGGGCAUGCAACGCCAUAGCUAGCUAGGUAGUAAUUCUUUUUCAUUUACUUGGCCUUUUGAAUUUUGAAAGUUGAAAUACCCAUGUUUAAUUCGCCUAAUCAAAGGUCUGCCCAAAUGCCAUAUCCAUAUUGAUUAAUAUUGAUCUUCAAUGGGUUUCAGGUUACACCAUGACAAUUAGUUUACAACGUCGUCCAUUAAUCUGGCCGACUUUCGGUGCAAUUUUGUUGGUUUUCAUCAAUUUGUUUAGUAAUAAGGAUACGUUGGUCA